UUAACACAUGCAAGUCGAACGGUAACAUUGGAGCUUGCUCCAGAUGACGAGUGGCGGACGGGUGAGUAAUGCAUAGGAAAUUGCCGAUUAGUGGGGGACAACAUGUGGAAACGCAUGCUAAUACCGCAUACGCCCUACGGGGGAAAGGUGGCCAAUCCUUGGAAGCUACCGCUAAUUGAUGUGCCUAUGUCUGAUUAGCUAGUUGGUGGGGUAAUGGCCCACCAAGGCGACGAUCAGUAGCUGGUCUGAGAGGAUGAUCAGCCACACUGGGACUGAGACACGGCCCAGACUCCUACGGGAGGCAGCAGUGGGGAAUAUUGGACAAUGGGGGCAACCCUGAUCCAGCAAUACCGCGUGUGUGAAGAAGGCUCGAGGGUCGUAAAGCACUUUCAAUAGUGAAGAUUGGAAUACAGGUUAAUACCCUGUGUUUUUGACGUUAACUAUACAAGAAGCACCGGCUAACUCAGUGCCAGCAGCCGCGGUAAUACUGAGGGUGCAAGCGUUAAUCGGAAUUACUGGGCGUAAAGCGCGCGUAGGCGGUAAGUUAAGUUGGAUGUGAAAUCCCUGGGCUCAACCUAGGAACUGCAUUCAAAACUGGCUCACUAGAGUAUGGUAGAGGUAAGUGGAAUUCCAGGUGUAGCGGUGAAAUGCGUAGAUAUCUGGAGGAACAUCAGUGGCGAAGGCGACUUACUGGGCCAAUACUGACGCUGAGGUGCGAAAGCAUGGGUAGCAAACGGGAUUAGAUACCCCGGUAGUCCAUGCCGUAAACGAUGUCAACUAGCCGUUGGGCCCGUUAGGGUUUAGUGGCGCAGCUAACGCAUUAAGUUGACCGCCUGGGGAGUACGCC
rnacentral:rRNA from 1 species